rnacentral:rRNA from 1 species
GAUGAACGCUGGCGGCGUGCCUAAUACAUGCAAGUCGAGCGAACAGACGAGGAGCUUGCUCCUCUGACGUUAGCGGCGGACGGGUGAGUAACACGUGGAUAACCUACCUAUAAGACUGGGAUAACUUCGGGAAACCGGAGCUAAUACCGGAUAAUAUAUUGAACCGCAUGGUUCAAUAGUGAAAGACGGUUUUGCUGUCACUUAUAGAUGGAUCCGCGCCGCAUUAGCUAGUUGGUAAGGUAACGGCUUACCAAGGCAACGAUGCGUAGCCGACCGGAGAGGGUGAUCGGCCACACUGGAACUGAGACACGGUCCAGACUCCUACGGGAGGCAGCAGUAGGGAACCUUCCGCAAUGGGCGAAAGCCUGACGGAGCAACGCCGCGUGAGUGAUGAAGGUCUUCGGAUCGUAAAACUCUGUUAUUAGGGAAGAACAAAUGUGUACGUAACUAUGCACGUCUUGACGGUACCUAAUCAGAAAGCCACGGCUAACUACGUG